UGCGUCAAGGAAUUUAAAUUUUGCUCUGAGCGCACCUGCAAGGCACCGGAGACGGUUUUCGUGCAGGUUGUGUUAUGACACAUGAUAUAUAGAAUGACUCUCGGCAACGGAUAUCUAGGCUCUUGCAUCGAUGAAGAACGUAGCGAAAUGCGAUACUUGGUGUGAAUUGCAGAAUCCCGUGAACCAUCGAGUCUUUGAACGCAAGUUGCGCCCGAUGCCAUUAGGUUGAGGGCACGUCUGCCUGGGUGUCACAUAUCGAAGCCUCCUGCCAAUUUCCCUUUGAUUAUUGUCCAGGGUGGACGUUGGCCUCCCGUGAACUCUUUUUGGUCAUGGUUGGUUGAAAAUUGAGACCUUGGUAGGGUGUGCCAUGAUAGAUGGUGGUUGUGUGAUCCACGAGACCAAUCAUGUGCUGCUCUAUUAAAUAUGGCCUCUUUUACCCAUAUGCGUUUCUAAACGCUCGUGAUGAGACCUCAGGUCAGGCGGGGCUACCCGCUGAAUUUAAGCAUAUCAAUAAGCGG
rnacentral:rRNA from 1 species